ensembl:lncRNA
CAAGUAAUGUAAGGCAAUGAAGUCUUCGUGUGUGUAGUGAUAGGUUAAAUUGUUUUCAGUCACCUGAAAGAGCCAAAGAUGAAGCUAAUAAUCUUUGGGCAGUUUUCAUCAACUACAAAGCUUUCAUCUUGAAGGAAGUUAGAAACAGUGAAGACAACAGACAAAAAGGUAAUCACUUGCAAAGACAAAUGAUUUUUGAAAUUAACAACAUUCUGUGUUGAAGUGACCUCAGUCAAAAAGACGACUUUAUUAUAAACAGCAACAGUUACAUGUUUCGUGCUUUAACAGUGUUGUGGCUCCUGAAUUACUGGACUGAUGGUGGAGAGGAGACUCCUCUGGUGCCUGCCGUGGGUGAGAGUUUGUAGGAGCUGUGCCAACUGAUAAAAGAAGAACAUCUACAAGAUGAGAUUUUUUUUUUCAACAUACAAGUCCUGCCCAAGCAUUUCCUUCCAAAAACACAUUGCUAGUGUGUUGGAGCCAGGACAUGGGCAAGUCGUACAUGAUUUGUCUAAGAGUGAGACCAGGCUUAUCGUAUCCAAAUGCUGUUUUGUAACAUGAUUUUGCCAAAGAGUACAUUUGUGUUUGAUUUCAGCUUAUUUCCCUGCCACUGUAUGAGACCACUCCAAGUUCUUUGGCUUCAGUGACGUGACAGCUGCAACCUCAGCUCAUGGAACGUGCUUCCAAAACUAACUGAGAAUUGAUUCAUUUGGUAGGAGCUUCAGAACAGUUAGGUUGGAGAUCCCUGUAGCCUGGUGGAAAUCCCGUUGGCUUUCUCCAUUGGCUUUCUUCAGUGUUCUGCACAGUACUGGAACAUGUUGCUUUGGUGCACAGCAAACAAAACACAUGGUGCAGCUGUGCUGCCGACCGUGCUGCAGGUGGCGAUGCUGCACCAGGACUGUGCCGAGCUCCAGCUCCAGAAAAUCGAGAAUCUUACAGCAAAGUCUUUUGGCCUCUCAUACAGGAGAUAGGAGCGCAUCCAGCAUGGUACCGGUUAAUAUCGUCUUAGAUGACGGUUUGGGAAUACCAAUGGGAGAAAUUGGACAAAUGUGUGUUGCCGAGAGCAGUCAGCUGGAGAUAUUUGGACACUUGAAAGAUCCUCAGAAACUGCUUUUGGAGGACCUUGGGCCUGUGCUGAAAGGGAUUUCUCCUUGAUAAUCUUGUGUUUCCUGAUUCCGGUAGGAAGGUGAUGCCAGCCCCCAGAAGCUCUGAUUCUGUCUGCCACGAGGACAGGAAGGGGGCGUCUCACUGGUGGUGGCAGACCCAUGUGCCCAUGCAGUGCCUGGUACUGCCCAUGCAUCGCCCUAAGGUGAACGUGCUUUACUGCACCAAAUGACAUCUGCUUUCCCAAG